rnacentral:rRNA from 1 species
ACUGCCGGUGACAAACCGGAGGAAGGUGGGGAUGACGUCAAAUCAUCAUGCCCCUUAUGAUUUGGGCUACACACGUGCUACAAUGGACAAUACAAAGGGCAGCGAAACCGCGAGGUCAAGCAAAUCCCAUAAAGUUGUUCUCAGUUCGGAUUGUAGUCUGCAACUCGACUAUAUGAAGCUGGAAUCGCUAGUAAUCGUAGAUCAGCAUGCUACGGUGAAUACGUUCCCGGGUCUUGUACACACCGCCCGUCACACCACGAGAGUUUGUAACACCCGAAGCCGGUGGAGUAACCAUUUGGAGCUAGCCGUCGAAGGUGGGACAAAUGAUUGGGGUGAAGUCGUAACAAGGUAGCCGUAUCGGAAGGUGCGGCUGGAUCACCUCCUUUCUAAGGA